CCUACGGGCUGCACCAGUGGGGAAUAUUGCACAAUGGGCGCAAGCCUGAUGCAGCCAUGCCGCGUGUAUGAAGAAGGCCUUCGGGUUGUAAAGUACUUUCAGCGGGGAGGAAGGCGAUAAGGUUAAUAACCUUGUCGAUUGACGUUACCCGCAGAAGAAGCACCGGCUAACUCCGUGCGAGCAGCCGCGGUAGUACGGAGGGUGCAAGCGUUAAUCGGAAUUACUGGGCGUAAAGCGCACGCAGUCGGUCCGUCAAGUCGGAUGUGAAAUCCCCGGGCUCAACCUGGGAACUGCAUUCGAAACUGGCAGGCUAGAGUCUUGUAGAGGGGGGUAGAAUUCCAGGUGUAGCGGUGAAAUGCGUAGAGAUGUGGAGGAAUACCGGUGGCGAAGGCGGCCACCUGGACAAAGACUGACGCUCAGGUGCGAAAGCGUGGGGAGCAAACAGGAUUAGAUACCCCCGUAGUC
rnacentral:rRNA from 1 species